ACGUAGGCAGCAAGAGUUGUUCGGAGUUACUGGGCGUAAAGGGUGUGUAGGCGGUUGCUUAAGUUUGGUGGGAAAUCUCCCGGCUCAACUGGGGGGGUGCGCCGAAUACUGAGCGGCUAGAGUGCGGGAGAGGAAAGUGGAAUUCCUGGUGUAGCGGUGAAAUGCGUAGAUAUCAGGAGGAACACCGGCGGUGUAGACGGCUUUCUGGACCGUAACUGACGCUGAGACACGAAAGCGUGGGUAGCAAACAG
rnacentral:rRNA from 1 species